AAUGAAAAAGUAGUUAACCUCUCCUUUAUAUAACCGCCCAAAUCGUUUUCCCUCCAAACCCAAUAUAUUUUUCCUUCUUUCGACCGUUAUUUUAUCACAGCGGUAGCCAAUCACGGCGGAGCUCUCCUCCGUCGUCGCGAAAAAUAAUAUCCGCCACCGUUAAUAUGUGCUCGUUGAAACAAAUGAAGCCUUCUUCCACGGCCACGGAGGAUUGGAGAGAGGAAGCGAUCCGCCGCGGAUCCUUGAAACACGUCGAUCUCACCACCGGAUCCAACGGCUGGGCGGCGCCUCCCGCCGACAACUUCUCCGUCCGAGGAGCUAAUUACCCUGCCAAAAAGUGCAAAUCUCCGGCGGGAGAGUACCUCCUCGAUCCCGCCGGCGUCGACUGGAUCCGAUCCAACGGCAGGCUCGACCACCUCCUCGCGCGCCGCGACAACCGCGUGAUGAGCGCGAUCCGCCGCGGAUCGGAAUCGGAUCAAUCAGCGCCGUUCGUAAUCGCGGUGAAUCUCCAGAUCCCUGGCCGCGAGCAUCACUCCGUCGUUUUCUAUUUCUCGAGCAAGGAAGGGGAAGGGGAAUCGAUCGGAUCGAAUGCGCUGCUCUCCGAUUUCAUAAACGGAUCGGAUGAGUAUCGCGACGGCCGAUUCAAAAUCGUGAAUAAGAUCGUGAAAGGACCGAGGAUUCUGAAGGCGGCGGUGGGGAGGUACUCGGCGUGCCUCCUCGGGAAGGCGGUGAGGUGCAGCUACCACCGCGGGGCGGAUUAUCUGGAGAUCGACGUCGACAUCGGCAGCUCCUCCGUCGCGGCGACGAUUCUGAAGCUGGCGCUGGGGUGUGUGAAGGCGGUGACGGUGGAUUUGGGGUUUUUGGUGGAGGGGCAGACGGAGGAGGAGCUGCCGGAGAAGCUGUUUGGUGCGGUGAGGAUUUGCCAGAUGGAGAUGAGCUCGGCGAUGUUCGUAGACGCUGCCGCGCCGGUGGCGGCGAUCAGUAAUAAGCCAAACAGCCCCUUCCGGCAGCAGAUCUUUGUUUCUCUUUCCGCCGUCAUUAACAAUGGACAAAGGGAAAUCGGUGAUGGGUUCUGGCCGGCGAUGGGCAGUCGGAUUCACGGACAAUUCAGCCUCCCCUUCAUCGCGUGAUAUUCCUGAUCCACCGGGCUUCACUAGGGCUUCCCAGGAUCAGGAUGAUUCGGCUGUGAGCAAACAGAAGAAGGAUGCUGAGGCAAAUUGGAAAGCUCAGAAAACAUGGGAGGUUGCACAAGCACCCUUCAAGAAUUUGAUGAUGAUGGGAUUCAUGAUGUGGAUGGCCGGAAGCACGGUUCA